UACGUAGGGGGCAAGCGUUGUCCGGAUUUAUUGGGCGUAAAGAGCGUGUAGGCGGUCAGGUAGGUCCGUUGUGAAAACCCGAGGCUCAACCUCGAGACGCCGAUGGAAACCAUCUGACUAGAGUCCGGAAGAGGAGAGUGGAAUUCCUGGUGUAGCGGUGAAAUGCGCAGAUAUCAGGAAGAACACCCGUGGCUAAGACGGCUCUCUAGUACGGUACUGACGCUGAGACGCGAAAGCGCGGGGAGCGAACAGG
rnacentral:rRNA from 1 species